UCAUGGCUCAGAUUGAACGCUGCGGCAUGCCUUACACAUGCAAGUCGAACGGCAGCACGGGAGCUUGCUCCUGGUGGCGAGUGGCGAACGGGUGAGUAAUACAUCGGAACGUACCCUGAAGUGGGGGAUAACGUAGCGAAAGUUACGCUAAUACCGCAUAUUCUGUGAGCAGGAAAGAGGGGGAUCGCAAGACCUCUUGCUUUAGGAGCGGCCGAUGUCGGAUUAGCUAGUUGGUGAGGUAAAGGCUCACCAAGGCGACGAUCCGUAGCGGGGUCUGAGAGGAUGAUCCGCCACACUGGGACUGAGACACGGCCCAGACUCCUACGGGAGGCAGCAGUGGGGAAUUUUGGACAAUGGGCGCAAGCCUGAUCCAGCCAUGCCGCGUGAGUGAAGAAGGCCUUCGGGUUGUAAAGCUCUUUCGGUGGGGAAGAAAUUGCUUCGGUUAAUACCUGGAGUAGAUGACGGUACCCGCAUAAGAAGCACCGGCUAACUACGUG
rnacentral:rRNA from 1 species